UUUUUUUUUUUUUUUUUUUUUUUUUUUUUUUGUCCUUUCAUUUUCUAAGUUUAGACCAUCUAAAUGUAAAAGGAAUACCCCAUAUGCAGUCCUACUUGUGCAUUCUGGUCAAUGCAAUGUUCAUCAAUGUGAAAUCUCUCAGGGCUGUUGUUUCGUUAUCUCUCUACAGACAUCCCAGAACAUGGAGCUUGGUUCAGAAAAAGAAUCCCCUGACAUUGACUUUGAGGCAGUGGUCUACCUAGGGAGGUACACAAUCAAAAAAUCUGUGAGUAACUCAGUAAAAACUCAAGUGCACUUCUUCUCAAUGGAGGGAAAUCUGAAUUUAUUUGUUUGUUCAUUUACCCUAAGCAAAUAGAGACAAAGUUAAUAGUAUCUGGCAUUUUACUUAGGUCUUCUUUUCCACUGGAUACCUUCACUAUUAUUUUUGCCUAAAUUAGGAUUCUGAAACAUAGGUCACUUUUGGAAACGUUAGAAUCAGUGAGAAGAAAACUACUCGGAAGAAUCUUCGCCCAUGUAUAGACUAGCUCGAAAAAUGAAAGUAGAAGCUGAGCACUUUAUUUCCCUUUCUUUCCUAAAAGAAAAAGCCCAAUUGCUUUCCUGGCAAAACAGAAUGCUAAUUUCCAUAACAAAGAGGAACGAUGAAAAGUGUGAUAUUAUGAGACCCAGUGUCUUAUCAAUACAAAUCUCUCUUUUUUUUUAAGAUUUUAUCUAUUUAUUCAUGAGAGACGCAAAGAGAGAGACGCAUAGGCAGAGGGAGAAGCAGGCUCCAUGCAGGGAGCCCAAUGUGGACCCGAUCUGGGGACUCCAGGAUCACAACCUGAGGGGAAUGCAGAUGCUCAACUGCUGAGCCACCCAAGAGGUCCUCAAUACAAAUUUCAUAGCCCUACGUUGGACUCUGUGCUGAGCAGGGAAUCUGCUGGAGGAUCGUCUCUCCUUUCUACCCCUCCCCCCACUCACUUGUACAUAUGCUUGCUCUCUGUCUCAAAUGAGUAAAUAAAUCUUUUAAAAAAUAAAAAUAAAUCUCAUAGCAGACAGGCACUUUCCCUAUAAGAACAGUCUCUUUUCUAAUGUUCUAUGACAUAGUUUCUUACUACAUCUGUUCAUGAAAACAGCCUCAUUUCUCACUUGUAAAAUAGUGCAAAUACACUAAUACACCACGUAAAGUUCUCUGCUUUGUCAUAUGGUACCUUGCGCUCUAACACCAAAGCUAUGUAUUGAAGAAUGCUUGAAAAAGAAUUUUGAACAAAAACGUCAAUAUCAAAAAAAAUUUAUCUAAAAAAGUUAUAUUUUCAUAUGUCUUCAAAGGAGGGAACCGCCUGAGUGCCCUUUUAGAUCUUACUAUGAAACAAAUGUUCUUACAGGAGUCCUUCAGAAAUUUCCAAAUUAGCUGAAUUUGGUACAUUAUCAAAAUUUGUCUCUAUAAGUGAAGAAAAAUUAUAAACUAGGCUUUUCUAACUAUAAUAAAAGUAAAGAAAUAAAUAAUUUCCCAUAGAUUUGCACAGGUAAAAAUACAUUUAAUAAUUAAUCUCAUAAGCUAGUCAAGGAAAGUUACAUUGCAAAUAACUCCUUGUAAUUUCAUUAUUCUUUUCAUACUUUGGAUACAUGGAGAUAUAAUAAUUUAGUUAAAUUCCUCAGGAUUGCAUUGUUUGAUAAAUCUAUGAUCUAAAGCCUAAAGGUAAAAACAUUAAGAAAAAUAACAAUAAAGUUCUUAGCUGCUUACAAAAAUGUCAUCUCAGUUAUACUUACUAUAAUGCCACUAGGCAAAAUUACUUACAGUACUUCUGGCUAUGUUGACCUUUUAUUUUAACAACAACAAAAAAUCUAUGUCCAUUAGUCAUAAUGGCGAACAGCUAGCAUAUUAAAAUAGUGAUAGGUGACACUGGUGGUUACUCUUUACUUCCUGGGGUCAGUUAACUGCUAGUUCUUCUAGAUUGCAAUCCCAAAUGCUGCAAACUAGGUUAUUCAUAGAUUCACUGUAAUUUCCUAUUAAUAUUAAGUGCUCUACAGAAUAUUAUAAUUUUUCAUCUUCUUCAUCUAAUAUCAGUGAGAUAUUUGCACUUCCUAUCCUUUAAAAAAAGAUUUUAUUAAUUUAUUUGACAGAGAGAGAGAGCAUGAGUGGAGGAGUGGCAGAUGGAGAGGGAGAAGCAGACUCCCCGCUGAGUAGGCACCCCAAUAUGGGGCUCCAUCCCAGGACCCUAGGAUCAUGACAUGAGCUAACCUGAGCCUAAGACAGACACUUAACUGACUGAGCCACCCAGGUGCCUCUGGGCUUCCUAUCCUUUAAGGAAAGAUUCCUCUAGGCUACCAUCAAACUUCUUAAUCCUAAUAUCUCAUGACAUCACCUUGUAACAUAAAAACCUAUACUUCUUUAGUCUUUUAUUGAAUCACAACUUCUAAAAAUUAUAAAUUUUAUCCUUUUAAAAUGUAUGAGUAAGUGCAUUUUAAAAAUAUUAUGAUAAUAUAUAUCAUUAUUUCUACAUGGUUAAGAUAAGGCAUUCUGAAGCAAAUACAAAAUACCUUGGCAUUUCUGAAACAUAUUUUUUUGAAUCUCUAAGUUCACAAAUAUCUAUAACAUAUGAAUUAGUAAUGUGUUAGUACAAUAUGACGAUGGCCCUUUAAGAACCCUAAUAAAUGAAUUAAUUCAUGUCUAAGGCAAUUUAUAAUCAGUUCAAAAAAAUUUCUGCCUACGACUUCUCACUGCAUUAUAUUGUAUUACUAUAAGAACAUAAAUUGUAAAGGUGCUUGAACCAACAAUUUUCUUAUCAUGUGAGAGCUACAGGGAUGAAGACAAUAAUAAAUAGGUUGGUGUCUCUCAAGCAGCACACAGGCUCCCACACAAAGUACAUCCCCUAUCGUGUAUGCAUGUGAUACAGUUCCAAGUCUGAGCAAAAUUAUUCAUGAGCUAUUAGCACCACGUCUAAGUCAUUAAAACCAAGAAUGUUAAAUCUUUGAAUAUCCAAGUUCACUGUGUAUUCUGAUGAAUAAUGUGGUGCAACUACAAGGAAUACAUAGAUAAUAAACCGGGAUUUAAGUGAACUUGAUGCCAAAAUUAUGCUGAAACAAUUUAAUAAUCCACAAUCCACUUUAGAAACCUAUCAUUUCAGACUUACUUCAUUAUUGACAUUAUUUGCAUGACCAAUUACAGAACUCUAAUUUUAUUAUAUGUACCUUUUUAUAUUUUUUAAAACCAAAAGUGCCCAGAAUUUUGUGUAGAAACGUUUGAGUUCACUCAAUAGCCAUUUUCCUAUCUCAAUUUAACAUUACAGUCAUUAAUUUAUCUUGCUUUAUUCCUUUGCUUAAAUAUGUUCACUCUUUCUCAUUUUUAAAAUAAUUUUUUAGAGUAACUAAAACCUAUUUUUCCUCUAGGUAAGAAUGAGUAUGGGUAGAAAGGAGUGAAACAAGAACUUAGCAAAAUUAAGUUGGGCAGGUGAACAUAUUAACAAGCACUGAAGUUUGGAAAAAGUAUUACUCAUUGUUAUUUACGUGGGCAGCAAGCUGGAAUUUCCUACUGCUUUUAAUAAUGGCAAUUGACAUGGAAAACGAUACACAAUAUAGGUCCUUCUGCUGAGCAGACACUCACAAGUAGCUAUUCAAUGAAAUAAAUUAAGGAAGCCUCCUGCCUCUGACUUGUCUGCCUAUGACCUAAUGAAAAAUGACUUAUUCACAGUCCCAAUCAGUGAGACCUAUAUUUGGAUGUUUUCCUUGUUGUUUUGUUUUAUUUUAUUUUCUGGAAUUCUUUUUUAUAGCCAAUUACACAGGAAUAAGGCCCCUUAUACAAAAAAAAAAAAAAAAAAAUCAGCUAUGUUGAAGCUAACUGUCCUUUCCAAUAAACUGAAAGGCUAAAACAUCUAGACCGUGAAACAAAAGGGAAUGUGAUUUGACAUGGAAAAAAUACCAAAGGGCAGUGAUGAUUUAAAAAAAAAAAAAAAAAAGAGGUAAAAAAAAUCAGAGCUAUUUUUUAAGGAUUUUAUUUAUUUUUUAGAGAGAGGGACAAUGCAUGCAUGAAUGAGGGGAGGGCCAGGGGGAGAGAUAAUCUCAAGCAGACUCUGCUCUGAGCAUAGAGCCUAUGUGGGGCUCGAUCUCACCACCCUAAGGUCAUGACCUGACCUGAAAUCAAGAGUCAGAUGUUUAACUGACUGACCCACCCAGGCAUUCCAAAUGCAAAACUUUUGAAGAAGAAAACAAACAACUAAACUAAAAGGCUUGGUUUUAUUUGUUUUUUUGUUCUUUUAGUUCAUUUAAUUAUUUUGUGGGUCUUUUUAUAAUAAACAUGUUGAAAGGGGUCAGAAAAAUGUUGGCAUAUCUAAAUCUCCAAAAGUUAAUGUUGGCUGUUAACUCGAAAUAGAACCAGAAAUUCAGUUGUAUUUUAGGAUUAAGCUUUACUCUGGAUAGGUUUCUGGAGCACCUCUAGAUUGCCUAGGAUUAUAUUCAUUUAUUCAGCAAAUACUUAGAAGUUACCUAUCUCUAUCUUUGUGCUAGGCUCAGAGAAAAAUACCAAUGUCCAUACCCCUGCCUUUGAGGCACCUAAAAUAUGUUGAGGAGACUUCUGCCUGGGAUAUUCAAGAAAGGCAUCAUGCAAUAAUUCACACUGAUGCUUGGAUAAAUUCUGAUAGGCACAGAGAGUCUGGGAGAAUAUGGAAUACACAAGGACACACAGACCACAAAGCAGGUUGUCUGGGUGAAGACUACUGCAGACAAGAUCAUUGGAACCCAGAGGAGAGUGGUUAUUCUAUCCAGUGACUAUUAGAAGUAAGUAUCACCAGGAUGGAAUUUGGAAAUGGGUUCAUGAAUAGAAAGCUUGUCUUGAGAUAUAUUCUUGGGUUUGAGUGCAGUGAAAGGUUCACACAGUAUGAACACCACAGCCCCCUUCUCUGUUUUGCCUGUUAAAGUCAAGGAUCAGAAAAUUCAGCAUCUACAUUUCUAAUCUUUAUUGCUUAGAAUAUAGUGUUUGCAAGAGCCAGUUUAGGGCAUGAGUUUGAUUCUCCUGAUAGUGGAACAUCCAUAUUCUGUCAAAGAUGCCUGUGGCCACCUGCUCACCUCAGAAACACCUGAUGUCCUUCAAUGUGCAAGAAUGAGAGAGGGACAGGGAUCAGAGAGAAUCCAAACCUUCUAGAAAAACAACUCAAACUAAUACACUCAAACUAAAAAUCUCUGUCAAAAUUAUUAGUUUUAUUCACCAAACAGCUGCCUUAUAGGGUAGAUAUUGUUAUCCCUGCCUUUAUUAUUUUAUAGAUUAUUUUAAGAAAGAAAAUACUGUAAACAUGUACUAUGUCCCCCUGGUACAGUAUAUCAUCUUUUCAUCCUAAAUCAGGCUUAAGAAAAUGCCUGUACAGAGUUGUACAAAUGCAAAUUCUAUGUGAUGAGAAGAACUGCAUAGAUUUUUCUCCUCUCAUCUGCCCUUUUCUAAAAGCAAAAUUUAAGACAAUGCUUUGUCACAAUGCUUAAAACUAUUUUUAAGUCAUAAGCUUAAGAUUCACUUCUACUUUGGAGAUGAUAGUAAAGUGUAAUAUGUGUACAUAAUUUUAAACUGAUCAAUUUAUAUACUAACCUUUUCUUUUUUUAUAAUUAGUAUCUUGAUUAUAAUAAUGAUUGGUGCUCCCAAAAAAUUAGCAAGUAGGAUUAAUAUAUUUUAACUUUUAAACCUGAAAUAAGCAUUUCCUAAUAAUAUUGUUUAGAGUUAAAGAUAAGGUUGGAAUUGGUCUGGGGAAGCCACAUUUUGGAUCUAAUUGAAGAGUUCAUCUGCUCACAGAGUUAAGAUGGGCAUAAAUCUAUCAACCAAAUAGCCAUAGGAGACUGUCAAUAUACACAUUCCAAACGACAUUUUGGGUAAUCCCAGAGUUAGCAGAGCCUUUGGUCCUCAAAUUUGCUGCAUAUAAGAGUGACCUUGAGAUUUUUUUUUUUUUAAUUUCAAUGAACAGACUACUUGCCAAGCAAAUUCAGUAUCUCUACCAGUGGGACUCAGGUCUCAAUAUUUUUGUACAUUCCCUUAGUGAUUUCAAUGUGUGGCUAAAUUUGAAACAUGGUGGCUUAGGCCACCAUGUUAACAAAUUUAAUCAGAUAAAUGCUGAUAAACCCCUUAUAUUGAGUGAAGACAUAAAAGCCCCAAGACAUAGGCAACUAUGAUAUCCAUGACUAGAAUACAAGUAACAGCUUGUAAAGAAUCCCACAGAGGGUACUGAGAGGGCAGAUAGAUUAUUUUCACUAGAGCCAAACCUGGCAGAAAUACAUGCUAUUUAAGAUAGCACUUAAGGUGGAGUUAGGUUUUUGACCUGAGCAUCCAUGUAGUGUGCAUAGCCUAGGCAAAGUCAUUAAGAAACAAAAGCAUAGACUGUGUAUCUGGAUUAAUGAACUCGAUUUACUUUGAGUCCAUGUUUCCAGUAGAGGAUUUGAAUUUGCAUAAGCAGAAAGUUUAGUAGAGGAACCCACAAAUGUCAUACUGAAGAAUUCAUAUUUAAUUUGAUGGACUUUUGAAUUACCCUAUUUAUUAUUAGAGGUGGGAUUUAGAAAUAUUAGUCUACAAUGAUAUGAUAGAGGUAGAUUGGAGAUGAGAAACCUGGACCAAAGAAAGGGUUAGGAAGAUGAUACAGUCACCAAGAAAAAAGGUAAUAAUGACAUGAAAUAGGGUUGUAGCACUGAAGACAAAAAAAGACAAAAAGAAUUCAGUUAUUUCCGUGGCACACAAAUCUACAUCCAUAAUGUAGCCUGGACGCUUAAGAACUUUUGAGUUUCCAAAACAUCAGCAAAUGGUACCCCAUAAUCGAAUAUGUUAGUAGGUUUGAUAGAGUAUUGGAAUAACCAGGCAUCAUUCUUUGCAUGAUCUAUUCAUUCUAAUAUUCUAAUUCAUAUUUUAAGAAUCAUGUUCCUGUGGUUUUUAUAAACAAAAUUAGCAGUUGUUACCACAAAGUAUCAGAAAAUCAUCUUUACAGAAUGGUCAGUUUGCUUUUCCACAUAUCUAGCCUGGGGAAAAAAUUUGAUUUAAUUGAUUCACCUUAUUGACAUAAUUUAAGUACAGCAAAUAAAAGAUACAUCAAAGAGGAAGAACAAAAGUUUUAGAAAAAUAAGUAAGUAUAUCUCUGAUCUUAUGUGCUUUUCUCUAUGUUAGAUUGCUGGAUGUUCAAGUGUAUGACAUUUAUCGAUACGUAUCUAUCAUUCCUGAAGAAUUAACAACAAUAUCUCGAUCUACAGAUGGAAACAUCAAUUUAAUUAACAAAUAAUUCUUAAAGUUUGUUUAUACUUUAGGGAAUUUAACAUUCCAGGUGAUUUGUGCAUAGAAACAAGGUCACCAUUCCUUCCACAAUUAGAGAACCAGGCUUCCAUCAUCUGCUCAGAUAGACUUGUGUAAGGCAUAUAUCUUUAUUUUGUCAUAAAGAUAGAUAUUGUAAUUUUUAACCAUCAGCAUUGGUUAAUGUUGGAUAUGUACGUAAGACAAAAUUUUCACAAAUAUUACACACAUAGCAUAAUUCAGUAGAUGAUCUGUCUCUAAUUCAGUACUUUUGCUAUGGAAUAGUUGUCCCAUCAAACAUUUCACACAUAUAUGUAGAUAUUUAUAUAUGCUCCUUAACAUUAGCAUAUAUCUAUAAAAUGACCAGAGAUGGUCAUUCCUAUGAACUCUUUGUAUUCCUCCAAAGUUUACAGAACAACUGAAAUAAUAAAGGACAAAAAAGCAAAUGAUAGAUUGAGAAAACGUAAAAACAGUUGGAUCUUGGAGCCACAAUACCACAUAAUAGGAUCCCAGAGAGCCUUGACCACCCACCUAGUUUUACGUUAUACACUGUGGGUUACGGCUUUUACUAGACAGCUUACUGAAAAGGGGGAAAAAUGAAAACAAAA
rnacentral:lncRNA from 1 species